CUUUCUCAGAACUGGGAUCUUCAUUGUAAUUAAAAGCAUGUUAAGCAGGCAUGUGAUAACCAGCACUGCCACAUAUUUUCUGCCACAAUCAUCUAAUAGUCGUCCAUUUACACGAAGAGCAAAGCAGGCAACAAGAGAGAAAGCAGUAUUUGAAGGUUGAAAAGAGUCUAACAGCUUCAAAUUUAAUUAACUGCUGAUUGUUCCUGAAAAUAUGCUAAGAGAUCAAGAUUCCAAAAAAAUCCAAAAAACGGGGUUUACAGAAGAAGACUGAGUGUUGUCUGACCUCAAGCUUACGGGAUGCGAGACCAG